rnacentral:rRNA from 1 species
CAGGGAAUCUUGCGCAAUGGGCGAAAGCCUGACGCAGCGACACCGCGUGGGGGAAGAAGGCCCUUGGGUUGUAAACCCCUUUUCUCGGGGAAGAAAGAUGACGGUACCCGAGGAAUAAGGUUCGGCUAACUACGUGCCAGCAGCCGCGGUAAUACGUAGGAACCGAGCGUUGUCCGGAUUUACUGGGCGUAAAGAGCGCGUAGGCGGCCCGUCAAGUCUCAUGUGAAAUCUCCCGGCUCAACUGGGAGGGGUCAUGGGAAACUGGCAGGCUAGAGGGCAGUAGAGGAAAGCGGAAUUCCCGGAGUAGUGGUGAAAUGCGUAGAUACCGGGAGGAACACCAGUGGCGAAGGCGGCUUUCUGGGCUGCCCCUGACGCUGAGGCGCGAAAGCGUGGGGAGCGAACCGG